UACAGGGGGUGCAAACGUUGCUCGGAAUCAUUGGGCGUAAAGCGCACGUAGGCGGUUCGUUAUGUCGGAUGUGAAAGCCCUUGGCUUAACCGAGGAAGUGCAUCCGAAACUGGCGAGCUAGAGUACGAAAGAGGAUCGCGGAAUUCCCGGUGUAGAGGUGAAAUUCGUAGAUAUCGGGAGGAACACCGGUGGCGAAGGCGGCGAUCUGGGUCGAUACUGACGCUGAGGUGCGAAAGCGUGGGGAGCAACGGG
rnacentral:rRNA from 1 species